rnacentral:tRNA from 1 species
AGCCUGGUGGGGUAGGGGAAAUCCUACAGGACUUCGGAUCCUGUGACCCGGGUUCAAAUCCCGGCCAGGGCGCCA